AAAAAGGAGAAAUAGCUGCAAAUUUAAUUUUGCUAAUGAAUGAUCUCCCCUUAACCAUAUUUCUAUUCCUUUCAGGUCACAUAAAAUGUCUAACUUGCUGUUAUGGUGCUGUUUUCCAAUAGCUGAGAGCCUUAGACUAUGUCUUUGAGAAGGAUAUUUGAAGUGGGGAAUAGUCUCUUUUUUUUAUGGCUUUUCUGCAGUAGAGAUUCUAUUUUUCUUGCAAACUUGUUUCCAACUGAAAAAGGAAUCCAGCUUGUUUCCUACCUCUCAACUUAUUUUUUACUUAGGUUCAUAGUUACUGUUUCUUGCCUUAUAUUGUCAGCAGAAGAUGGAUUGGUCUUUUGAUGCCUUUCUGGGAUUUUUUUAAUUAUGCAAAAUAUUUGGCAUGGUAAUAUUACUUCUUACAUGAUUUAGUAUUUUAUUUUUCUUGCUGGGUGCUUAGCAAGAUCUUUCGGUUAGUUGCUGUCACAUUUUUUUCCCUUCAAAUGUUCAAAAUAUCUCAAGUUAAUGGAAUUGGUUUAAUAUGAUAGGAUGGCCGUAUUCCAAAGAGAUGCUAUAUUUGGGUGAUGGUUAGGCGUAUGCCUUUUACUGGCAGUUUGGCUUUAUAGGUAUUUGUUCGAACUGGUGCUUACUCGGAACGGAUCGAGGAACAAAGAGAAGGGGCAAGGAGAGGGUAAAACAGAGGUUAAGAGAUUGUGAAGUUGAUUUAAUUUUGUCAUUUGCCUCUGGUGAAGAUGGGGAUGGGUCUGUGAUCAUUACAACUUGGUGUGUAGGUAGAGAUUUGCAGAUGUGUCAGCUCAAGCAAUGGCUGAGAAUACAACCAGCCAGAAAGUGAUCUUGAUUACAGUUUUCACCUUAUGCAGUUAUUUCCUGCGGCGCUUACUAGGUUGUAUUCUCUUGCAUUUAACCUGGUUCCAUUUUUCUUAGCUUUCUACGAUAUUCAAACUGGUAUCCUUUUCCUCAAAACAGGACCCGGGAUAAUAUUUGCCAAUCCUUUACUUGCAAGCAAUCAGUGAUCACCUCACCUGGUCUCCUGUUAAUGAUGCAUUGAUGCAGUGGUGUCUGACCUUUCGAAUUAGAAGCAUUGAUGUUUGCACCAUAUUGUAGGAGUAGCUCUACCAUGCCCAUGUCAGCAUUUAGGCAGGCAAGGUGAAGCAGAGAACAACCAUCUGUAAAAUCCUUUAUGACCUGAUCUUCAGUUUUAUUUAAUGGCUUCACAUAGCUUGCCAAGGGCUUGUCCAAAGAGUCACCUGCAAAGCAAUCAAACUUCAGGUCAAGGUUUUCCUGCUCUUCGUACUGGAUUACAAAGGUCAGAGAUGAGGAUGUACUGAAUGAUGCUUGCCCAUGGAUGGCAUUGACAUCUACUCCUGAGCAGACAAUUUGGCGGUAAACUGCUUUCUUGUCAUUGGCAUGGACACUUUCCCACACCUGUUGUGCCACUGAAAGGAGAUUCUUGUCGUCCUUAAUCGUGCGCAUAAAUAUUUUUUCUGCAUACUGCAUUGCAAGCUGUCAAUUUUGGCUCCCAACAUGAUUAUCUAUCAGCAGAGUGGAAAAGCAUGAGCCAAAUGAACAUCCAUAACAGACACAGACAGCAGAAGGCUGAUAAUGAGAUGUGCAUGAUAUGAAAGUUGUGAGGAAUAAUUGGCAUUUAGUGUUAGGGACUUUUAACAUUCUAACUUUUUUUUUCUUUAAUAACUUUUGUUUGUGUGAGUACAAAUGUUUUACCAAUGACCAGUUACCAGUCAUAUGAACAAAGGUUCCAAAAUCAAUGAUCAACACAGAUUUGUAAGAAGCCACAAAGACAUUGUGCGU